GAAAUGCGAUAAUUAAUGUGAAUUGCAGAAUUCAGUGAAUCAUCGAGUCUUUGAACGCACAUUGCGCCCCCUGGUAUUCCGGGGGGGCAUGCCUGUCCGAGCGUCAUUGCUGCCCUCAAGCACGGCUUGUGUGUUGGGCUUCCGUCCCUGGCAACGGGGACGGGCCCAAAAGGCAGUGGCGGCACCAUGUCUGGUCCUCGAGCGUAUGGGGCUUUGUCACCCGCUCCCGUAGGUCCAGCUGGCAGCUAGCCUCGCAACCAAUCUUUUUAACCAGGUUGACCUCGGAUCAGGUAGUGAUACCCGCUGAACUUAAGC
rnacentral:misc_RNA from 1 species